rnacentral:rRNA from 1 species
CAGCAGCCGCGGUAAUACGUAGGUGGCAAGCGUUAUCCGGAAUUAUUGGGCGUAAAGAGUGAGCAGGCGGCAGUUUAAGUUUGGAGUCAAAGCGAGGGGCUCAACCCCUUAACGCUCUGAAAACUGAACAGCUAGAGUGCGAGAGAGGUAAGUGGAAUUCCAUGUGUAGCGGUGAAAUGCGUAGAUAUAUGGAGGAACACCAGUGGCGAAGGCGACUUACUAGCUCGAUACUGACGCUCAGUCACGAAAGCGUGGGUAGCAAAUAGGAUUAGAUACCCUAGUAGUCCACGCUGUAAACGAUGAGAACUAAGUAUUGCCGUGAGGCAGUGCUGAAGCUAACGCAUUAAGUUCUCCGCCUGGGGAGUACGGUCGCAAGACUGAAACUUAAAGGAAUUGACGGGGCCCCGCACAAGCAGUGGAGCAUGUGGUUUAAUUCGACGCUACGCGAAGAACCUUACCAGGACUUGACAUGGAAUUAAAGACCCUAGAAAUAGGGGGAUAGUCAUAGUUCACACAGGAGGUGCAUGGCC